AGUCUACCUCACUCACCCCCGUUUCAAAGUCUAGAGUGAGUAUAUCUGAUUGUCAGAACUUGGGCUGUAUGGCCAUGACCUAGUUGCAGAGGAGACUAGAAAGGAACACAUUUUGUCUGAGUAGAGUGUGCCAGGAGAAAGCAAAUGAAAUACACUUGCCACCAAGAUGUCUGGGUUCAGAUGGAUUUGAGGAAAAGCCACCACUGCCUCUCCCCACUCCUCAGGUCUGGACCUGUAUCAGGUGUCAUCUGCAAAAGGAAAAUGUAUUCUAUUCUUGGAGUGAAGCCUUGGGAGUGCUCCUUGAUACCCUGCGGACCUGGCCCUAACUUCCCUCCAGUCUUACAUCACCUCUCCUGUGCUCAGCUCCAACAGGACUCUGCUGGCUGCCAGGGCAUCCCUGUCCUCAAGAAGCUUCCAUCCAUUAGAGGCCAGAAUCCAGAUAAGAAUCCAGCUUAUUAUAGUACAAAGUGUUAGGUGAGGGGGACCAGUUGAGGAAAUAAUUUAAUCUGUAGUAAAAUACCAUUGAUUGGGUGGUUUAAACAAAGGGAAUUUGUUUUCUAUCUGUUCUGGAAG